rnacentral:lncRNA from 1 species
AAUUCAAUGAUCAUGCUUACCACACACAGCUUUUUACAACAACAAAAUCAGAACCAAUGCUCAAUUACAACUUUUCAAAUCAAAGAAACAAUCAUACACAAGUCUCAAAGUGAUCUCAAUCUAAUUUCACAAACAAACCAAAAUAGAAUCACACCUGAGUUCCUACACCAAGGUAUCUCUCCCUCACUCUAAGUAUGGGGAUUGCUAGAAGACCUAUCUCCAAAAUACUGAAAACAGCUAUUUAUAGUCUAGAAACUUAAUCCCUAAGAUAUGAACACAGGAAGCAAAAAUCGAUUUGUUCAACUGAGUACUUACCCGUUUAGCUCCUAGACCCGCCACCUCUAGGCUCCUAGGGUUCUAGCUCCUGCAAAAUAGCUUGAAGGAGUCAUCGAUCGAGCUUUGAGAAUUUGACACCUCCUGCUUGGCAAGGUCGGCUGCUAAUAUUUAAGAUUUUCCUAGGAUAUUUUCUGGGUUUAAGUGUAAUACCCCGGAAUUUUGAUAUUAGUUCCUAAUUUUACUUGGGAAUUUUCGAGUUAGAAGUUAGUGUGUUUUUGAGGUUCGAAGGAAGGCUGGAAGUGUUUGAGCAUUUAAUUUCUUGAAAAUGUUUUAUUCUGAAGGGUCAAGAGUUGACUUUCUAAUCUGUUGGGUUUCUCGAGAAACUUCCUUCACGGAAGUUGUAGAGCACGACGAUGCGAGUUCGUGGAAAUUAACGUGACACGAGUAAAAUGGAAUUCGUAUGUGAAAGUUAUGGUCAGAAGAAGUUUGUGGCUUUACGGGAUUUUUGGGUUAAAUAACAAAAGUUUAGGGUUUCCAUUUCAUUUUUUCCAGAAACCCUCUCUCCUCUCUUCUCUCCUUCUCUCUCGCCUCACCUUCACUAUCUAGGAUUUCUACCUGACCCGAUCCGGACCCGGUUGACCUAACCCGGCUUUUUCGGCCACCUCCAACCGACCUGGACGUCGGCACCAGUCAGGUUCUCUUCCUCUCCUCCGUCCGAGCCUCCCUUCGUGGUGGCUUGCACCGAUUUGUGGUGGUGCGCUUGUUUCAAAGCCGAGAAGUUUGUGUUGAGACCCGGUUGGAAGUUUGUUGAGAUUUUGAGGUUGGUAGGGUGGCGCGUGGGGCCCACUCGCCGCCGCCUAUGGUGGCGCGUGGUGGCGCGUCUGGCAGGGUGUGUAGGUUCAGUUGCAAAGGUUAGCUAGUUCUUAUUGUUGUGAGCACGUUGAUAUAUUAUAAGACUAGGUUGAGAUCUUGUAAUGCUUAAUGUUGGAGCUUUUUCGAUGAGGUGUGAGGUUGUUGAUUUUGUGAUUUUCAAAUGUAAGAGCCGUUUUUGGCAGUUGCAGGAGGUUUUGUUUUAGGUGAUCGAGGACCUUGGGAGGUCUUGAAGGAGAGUUGCCCUCCUUUGGGCAAACCUUCGGAUUUUAGUUUUGGGUUAAGAGGGCAAAUGUUACUCUUUAGUUUGUUUAGUUACUAAGGUUAAUAUUUGUGUUAAAUAGGGUGACUUGUGGAGUUUGGUUUUGAGCUAGACGCUUGCGUUUGUGCUUAUGAAGAUGCAACGGUAGUUAAGGUGAGUAAAAUCUCACCAAGGUUCACUUUGUGACCUAUUUAUUUAUGGAAAUAUUGAUGAUUAUGAUGAUGAUAAUGUUGAUGAAAAUGUUGAUGAUAUGAUGAUUAUGAUGAUAAUUAUGAUGAUGAUUUUGAUGAUGAUGAUGAUGAUGAUAUUAUUAUAUUGUGAGUAAAUCUCACAUGAGUUCAUAAAGGAACCGAGUUUAUUUUAUAGUUUAUUAUUGCUAAUUGUGAAGUUGUCCUUGAAGGAAAAUGAUUUUGUUUUUAGAUAUAAAUGAGCUUGAUCGUCAACGGCUCAUGGGUAAAUGAAAAUAUGUUUUCUGAUAAAAAUAAAAUCUUUCAAAAGGACUUCUGAUCAUGGGUUAUAAUUAGAUGUGUGUCUUUGUGGUGAUUGUGUGCCUUAGUGGUGAUUGUUGUGUAUUAGUUGUGGUUGUGUGCCUUUGUGGUGAUUGUUGUGUAUUAGUUGUGGUUGUGUGCCUUUGUGGUGAUUGUGUGCAUUAAUUGUGGUUGUGCCUUAGUGGUGAUUGUUGUGCAUUAGUUGUGGUUGUGUGCCUUAGUGGUGAUUGUGUGCAUUAGAUUAGGAGCCUUUGUGGUGGACCGGGAACCAAGCCUUGGCCGGGUGAUUGGUUACGGUCAGUAUAGAGCUCUAGCCUGUCUGUCGGUACUUCAUGGGGGAUGACUAAGUGUUGACGAACUCAUAAGUAAGAGUAGAGAAAUGAUUGUGUGAUGUUCUUAUGUGAUGUCAUUUAAUUACCUUGUUUUGAGUAUUUCUUGAACUAUGCUUGUCCGCAGAAGUUUCUUUAAUCUUAAUCGUGUGGUUUUAAAGGAAUUCCUGAACUACGCUUUUUGCAAGAUUCAUUUAUGAUUUUGAGUGAUUGUGAAUUGUUGUGUUUUCUUAAUUUCUUCUUUUGAUUUCUCUUGCUUGUAAGUGUUUUCCUGAAUUUAUUUUUAAUGCAUGAACUCUUGGUUUUACCUUAUGUGUUGAUGGGUUAAGUCUGUUGUUAUAGAUUUACUCAUACGAGCUUUUAAAGCUUACCAGGUUUGUUGUUUUACAACCCGGUGCACCAAUCCAUGGUGUAGAGGUUGUUUUUGCAGGUCAGGUUUAACAGAGUUGAGGCUGCGGUAGAUAGGCAUUGUUCCUUUUAUUUACUUUCUAGAUUGCAGUGAGUUUUGAGAGAGGUUUUACUUUGUUCAAAUUAUUUUCCAGAAGUUGUAAAACUAAAUUGUUUUAUUGAUUGUUUUUCUUUUUGGUUAUCAUGCCUUGAAUUUGGAAUUUUUAUUAUCUAAAAUUCGGGGUGUGACAUUAAGGGCGGCUUAGCAAGGUUUCUGAUGAGUUUGAUCAAGGAUUCAAAUCAAGAAUGUUCUGGGUUGAGAGGAAGACGAUGAACAGGAAAAACAAAGGUUUGAGUUCAUGUCGCGUGUUCUUGUUCUUCCAUCUGCGACAGGAUUGCUAAAAGAAAGGUUAUUAAGUUUGGGCUCGGGUCGGGUCAAAUGGUGUUGGGAUAAGUUCUAAUUUAUGGGCUAAGGAUAAAUUUCCUAACUAAAUAAAUCAAACAAAAUACACACAUAUAUAAAAUCACAAUUAUACCUAUAAACACAUAUUUAUAUAUAUAUUUAUAGUAAACCAGCAAAUUUGACACGACCCACCCCGAAAUUCACCCUGAAACCCGGAGUAAGUCGUGCGGGGACCACCUCCAAGGAAAAUUUACUGAAAAGAUUGAGAAAAUCUCCCUUGCAGAUGGACAACCCUACCUCGAAAAUUCCAAAUUUCACUCUUAAUUCAACACUUCUAAACAUCACAUAAUAUACAAUGAUCUCAAAGUAUUCAGAGCUACUAAACACAAACGGAAGCAAGAAAACAUGAGUAGGUUGAACAGGUAACCUACUGAUGAAAACUGGCAGAAAUGCGGGUGACUAUGCCUCGCCUCCUACUAGAUCCAACCCGAACUCUGCAGACUGGGCAAUUUAAAACGAAAGGCCCAGGGGAAAACAUUUAAUAACAUUAGAGUGAGUGGACAAAAAUAAAAUAAAGGAAAUAAUUCUUUAUGCUUUCCCAAUUUUUACUUUUCCAUAGAAAAGAAAAUAUGCUGCAUGCGACAGCUCAAAACACUCAACACGAAAACUGGAAUUUCAUGACUGGCUCCGACCAGUCUCCAACGCUCAAUAAAAUACAGCCUCUCAGGCUAAAAUAAAAUAUGUAUGUAUUACACUCGUCAUAUCCCUUGUAUGAAUUUUCUUGAAACAACAAAAACAAAUAGAAAAUUCACACAAGGCUACAACGCUUGCAUCUAACGCUCACGUUGCACCAUAAUGGCAUUUUACCUCAUUAUGGUGGAAAAGACGGUGUAUAAAUAUACGCGCAUAUCCCCUAUAUAAAUUAUUAAUUUUAUAUAGGGCUACAAUGAUUGCGUCUAACGCUCACGUUGCACCAUAAUGGAAUUUUACCUCAGUAUGGUGGAAAAGCACGUAUAGCUAGCUAGCAUUCUCUCAUAUACAUAUUAUUCUCAUAAUCAUCCACAUAUGGAUAUAUAUAUAUAUACUCACCGAAAUUCUCAAUUUCGGUUAUUCUCCAACAACAUAAAUUAUUUCGCAUGCACAUUAUUUAAAACAAAAGUCCACUCACAAAUUAGGCCUAAGCCUGAUGUCGAUCUGGGGCCUCGUCAGCUUGAGCCUCCUCACGACCUGUUCCAAAUAUAAUAUUAAGUUCCUAGCCGAAAUUCCAAUAUUUAAUCAAAAUAGGCAAAAUUACCCGAGAGCCAUAAAUACGCUCAUCAUUGCCUAACUUCGAUAAUCUUAAAUUGGAACAAUCCGAACUUAAAUAUCAUACUCAACAGUCGUAAAUACAACCUCUCCAAAAUACGACUUAAAUCCUACGGCCGGAUUCUACAUUAAUUAACCGCCAAAAAUACCAAACUUCGGAAAUUCAUAAACCUAUCCAAAACUCAUCCAAAAAUUCCAUAACUCACUUCAAUAAACUCCCCUUAAUAUUCCAAAUUUAACAACAUUAAAAUCUCCCAACCGGCGGCGGCCGGAGGUCAAUUCCGGUGACCUCCAAAACCUAUGAAAUUUUAACAGCAUCUUCCUCUCAUCAAGCUCUACAACUUUCAUAACUAGCACAAACACCAAUUCCAAGCCUAACUAGGGCAAUCGACUAAAAACAUNNNN